GUGAAUCAUCGAAUUUUUGAACGCAAAUUGCACUCUCCUCGGAGAGUAUGCCUGUUUGAGGGUCAGCCUAAAAAAAAUCGACAUAGUUGCUGUUUCGCGGUGACAUUCGGCGGUAAUUGUGUCAUCUUAAACCUUUUGGUUUUAAGCUGCUUAAAAUUUUCUUUUCGAUUCCACGGACGUUUCUAAGAUUUUACUUCUUACACUUUUAAUGUAUCAAUCUUUAUUAGACAUUUCCGUUGC
rnacentral:misc_RNA from 1 species